rnacentral:tRNA from 1 species
GCCCUCUUAGCUCAACUGGAUAGAGCGCUUGGCUUCGGACCAAGAGGCUGGGGGUUCGAAUCCCUCAGAGGGCACCA